UCGGGCUGCAGACAGGCCUCAGGGCGGUGGUUGGGGCCUGGGUCCAGUGAAGGAACAUGGGGUCUUAUUUCAGUGUAAACCUGAGAAUUGGACCGACCAGAGGAAACCUGCUCCCACCAUGACUUACUGGGUCAUAGGGCGGAUGUUGCUGGAGCCUGUUCCUCAGGAGUUCUACGUGUGUUUCCAUGACUCUGUGGCAGAGGUUCCUGUGGAGAUGGCCUUCAGACUCUCCUUUGGCCUGGCCCUGUGAUGUGUCAUUUUCUUGUAUUAGAUCAGUGACGCAGUAUUUGAACUAUCGGAGCAUCUGUGUCAUUCUCAGGAAAAACUGUGGUGCAGGUUAAAAGCACCUGAGAGCAAACGUGGUACUGAACAGGGGCUGCGUGGAGUCUUAAUCUAACAACGUGCCUCCAUUUCACAUCUGAUUUUCCUGCAGAUAACAGCAGAGCGUGACUGUGGCCUUACAGCAGUGAUAAGCAAUGAGUUCAGACCAGAUCAUUUCUGUGCCUUGUUGUCUUCAUGUGUGUGUUUGUGUGGAUGAAAAGCCUCUCAGUGAAUACCUCAGACACUUAAGUGUAAACCUACACACUCACCUUCCAGUGAGAGCAGUCGUCAGGACAGUUUGCUAAAGUAAAGUUUAGUUAACUGGACCAAUAAAAACACAGUUUGUAUGCAGUGUUGGAAAGGCAUUUGUUAAUUUAAUAUGUACAGUUUUGUAUGGACCUUGAGUCAUUUGUUUAAAAAAGAAAUUAAAGAAGCAACACAG